rnacentral:rRNA from 1 species
UGGCUCAGGACGAACGCUGGCGGCGUGCCUAAUACAUGCAAGUAGAACGCUGAAAGAGGGAGCUUGCUUCUUCUGGAUGAGUUGCGAACGGGUGAGUAACGCGUAGGUAACCUGCCUGAUAGCGGGGGAUAACUAUUGGAAACGAUAGCUAAUACCGCAUAAGAGGUAAUAACACAUGUUAUUAGUUUAAAAGGGGCAAUUGCUCCACUAUCAGAUGGACCUGCGUUGUAUUAGCUAGUUGGUAAGGUAAGGGCUUACCAAGGCGACGAUACAUAGCCGACCUGAGAGGGUGAUCGGCCACACUGGGACUGAGACACGGCCCAGACUCCUACGGGAGGCAGCAGUAGGGAAUCUUCGGCAAUGGGGGCAACCCUGACCGAGCAACGCCGCGUGAGUGAAGAAGGUUUUCGGAUCGUAAAGCUCUGUUGUAAGAGAAGAACGGAUGUGGGAGUGGAAAAUCCAUGUCGUGACGGUAUCUUACCAGAAAGGGACGGCUAACUACGUGCCAGCAGCCGCGGUAAUACGUAGGUCCCGAGCGUUGUCCGGAUUUAUUGGGCGUAAAGCGAGCGCAGGCGGUUUCAUAAGUCUGAAGUUAAAGGCAGUGGCUUAACCAUUGUACGCUUUGGAAACUGUGAGACUUGAGUGCAGAAGGGGAGAGUGGAAUUCCAUGUGUAGCGGUGAAAUGCGUAGAUAUAUGGAGGAACACCGGUGGCGAAAGCGGCUCUCUGGUCUGUAACUGACGCUGAGGCUCGAAAGCGUGGGGAGCAAACAGGAUUAGAUACCCUGGUAGUCCACGCCGUAAACGAUGAGUGCUAGGUGUUGGGUCCUUUCCGGGACUCAGUGCCGCAGCUAACGCAUUAAGCACUCCGCCUGGGGAGUACGACCGCAAGGUUGAAACUCAAAGGAAUUGACGGGGGCCCGCACAAGCGGUGGAGC